UCCUAACGUAAUCUUUCAUUCUGCGUUUAAAUUUUUGAAAAAUACUCAUUAGUUUUCUUAGGAUUCGAAAAAAAUUAAUCCCAUGUAUAUUCUUGUUAUUGGUUUUUUUUUUGUAUAAUAAACGUUACUUACAAGGAAGUACUUUUAAUUUUAUUUUGUACAAACUUCUAAUUAAUAAUAUUUUCUUGUUCGACUCAAAAAAUACUAUAAAUUUUACCAGAAUUUCUACUUUAAAAUUGUGUUUUCAAAAGCGGUAGUCCGAAAGUCGGACUACGCACGUCAUCAAUUGCGAUGUUGCCUUUUUCUCUUCAUGGCUUGUAAAGUAAAGGUGGCUAUGGCCGUUCCAAGAUGCUGUCAAAAUUAAAUCAAUAUGGCUACUGGAAGGCAAACAUUGAAUAUUAUUCUAUCAGGUUCUUAUGGUUUUAGAUCAUUUUAGUUGUUGUACAAAGAUUGAUUUAACAUUUUCUCUGGAAGUAUUAAUUUAGAAAGAUAAUAUGCCUCAUUGGUGUUGUGUUUUGAAGUGUGAAAUGCAAAGUAAUCGUGAUAAAGUUAGCUUUUACCACUUACCAUCAGUGCUACAUUCUAAGCACAAAACUGAACCAAUUUAACUAAAUAAGUUAUAGUUAUCAUCUGAGAGACAACAACAAUGGUAAAAUGCAAUAAAAUAUAAAGAUUUUACUAGCAAAAUGGAAAUUCCCCUGUAAUCAUCUUAUAUCUGGUAAGUUACAACAUUUGAACAUUAACGAUUUUUGAAGAUGUUAACAGUCUAAUCUUGUAGGAAAACCAGCCGACUUAACUGAUAAUAACAAUCCAGAUUGGGUUCCUUCAAUAAAUAUGGGGUAUAUAAACACAAUGAAAUGAGUUCCCCAAAAUCUAAAAUGGGAAUUAAGGUACCAAAGGAGAAUUAAAAGAAAAGGGUACCUACAAGAAAAAAUUGCUUUUUUAUUCCUCUUGAAAUGAUUUAUAAGUAAAGACCGGAUUAUAUGUUCCUCUUUUGACUGAAAUAUGUGCAUAUAUAUGUCUGAAAUAUAAGUAAAAUAUGUUGAAAAUAUUCCCUAAAAGUUUAAAAUAUGUUCCAAAUAUGUGAAAUAUGUGAAAAACAUUUUAAAGUAACAAGAAGAUAUGCAUUAAAAAAUGUAUAAAAAGUUUUAUUAAAUAACGAAUCAGCUGAGAGAAGUGGUCUACAAAAACCCAGGAAGGAAACGGAAUAUGUGGCUACGAAAGGCAAAAGAAAGGUUUACAAAGCAAAUGUGACACAUUUUUUUGAAAUAUUUAGGAAUAUCAGUAAAUUGCAUUAAAAAAAUGUAUGAAAAGAUUUUGUUCAAUAAAAAUGUUUAUAUUUA